UAGGGAAUCUUCCACAAUGGACGCAAGUCUGAUGGAGCAACGCCGCGUGAGUGAAGAAGGUUUUCGGAUCGUAAAGCUCUGUUGUUGGUGAAGAAGGAUAGAGGUAGUAACUGGCCUUUAUUUGACGGUAAUCAACCAGAAAGUCACGGCUAACUACGUGCCAGCAGCCGCGGUAAUACGUAGGUGGCAAGCGUUGUCCGGAUUUAUUGGGCGUAAAGCGAGCGCAGGCGGAAGAAUAAGUCUGAUGUGAAAGCCCUCGGCUUAACCGAGGAAUUGCAUCGGAAACUGUUUUCUUGAGUGCAGAAGAGGAGAGUGGAACUCCAUGUGUAGCGGUGGAAUGCGUAGAUAUAUGGAAGAACACCAGUGGCGAAGGCGGCUCUCUGGUCUGCAACUGACGCUGAGGCUCGAAAGCAUGGGUAGCGAACAGGAUUAGAUACCCUGGUAGUCCAUGCCGUAAACGAUGAGUGCUAAGUGUUGGGAGGUUUCCGCCUCUCAGUGCUGCAGCUAACGCAUUAAGCACUCCGCCUGGGGGAGUACGACCGCAAGGUUGAAAC
rnacentral:rRNA from 1 species